CCUACGGGAGGCAGCAGUGGGGAAUAUUGCACAAUGGGGGAAACCCUGAUGCAGCGACGCCGCGUGAGUGAAGAAGUAAUUCGUUAUGUAAAGCUCUAUCAGCAGGGAAGAAAAUGACGGUACCUGAGUAAGAAGCCCCGGCUAACUACGUGCCAGCAGCCGCGGUAAUACGUAGGGGGCAAGCGUUAUCCGGAUUUACUGGGUGUAAAGGGAGCGUAGACGGCAGUGCAAGUCUGGAGGUAAAGGCGGGGGGUCAACCCCCGGACUGCUCUGGAAACUGUACGGCUGGAGUGCAGGAGAGGUAAGUGGAAUUCCUAGUGUAGCGGUGAAAUGCGUAGAUAUUAGGAGGAACACCAGUGGCGAAGGCGGCUUACUGGACUGUAACUGACGUUGAGGCUCGAAAGCGUGGGGAGCAAACAGGAUUAGAUACCCUAGUAGUC
rnacentral:rRNA from 1 species